GCCUUAGCAGUUUUCGAAAAUGCAUACAUUCCCCAGGAACGGACCGCCACGGAUGGCGGGCCGAGCGAACAACGCCACAUGGAUGUGGCGUGUGAGCGGUUCCGGAAGGAAUCAAUAAUUUUGAGCAUUUUCGUAAGAACUGCUAG
rnacentral:ncRNA from 1 species